UUCCUACUAUUUAAUUUUUCUGUGCUGGUUGCAUAGUAUGCUUAAACUGUCAGCAAUUAUGAUAAGGGUUGGAUUCACUAUAGGUCAACGAGAUGAUUUUUCUGAAAUUGAAAACAAUUCUUCAGAUUUCGAUAUGUUUACAAAAUGAAUAGAUUAAUUAAUAGAAAAAUUAAUAAAAUAUUUAAAUCUAA